AGAACGUGAUCACUGGAGUUCCCAUAAUAUGUAAUUAAAAUCUCCAUGUAAUCAAGAAUUGCAAUACCCUGAUGGC
rnacentral:snoRNA from 1 species